UACGUAGGUGGCGAGCGUUGUCCGGAUUUACUGGGCGUAAAGAGCGCGCAGGCGGUCGUUCAAGUCGCGUGUGAAAGCCCCCGGCUCAACUGGGGAGGGUCACGCUAUACUGAUCGACUCGAAGGCAGGAGAGGGUAGUGGAAUUCCCGGUGUAGUGGUGAAAUGCGUAGAUAUCGGGAGGAACACCAGAGGCGAAAGCGACACCCUGGCAUUUGCCUGACGCUGAGAUGCGAAAGCGUGGGGAGCAAACGGG
rnacentral:rRNA from 1 species